CCCUUAGAUGUUCUGGGCCGCACGCGCGCUACACUGAAGGGAUCAGCGUGUUUUCCCUUUCCGAGAGGAACGGGUAACCCGCUGAACCCCCUUCGUGGUAGGGAUCGGAGCUUGCAAUUGUUCUCCGUAAACCAGGAAUUCCCAGUAAGCGCAAGUCAUAAGCUUGCGUUGAUUACGUCCCUGCCCUUUGUACACACCGCCCGUCGCUACUACCGAUUGAACGUUUUAGUGGGGUAUUUGGACUGGGCCUUGGGAGGUUUCGGCCUCCCUUGUUGCUCGGAAAGACUCCCAAACUUGAGCGUUUAGAGGAAGUAAAAGUCGUAACA
rnacentral:rRNA from 1 species